UACGUAGGGGGCAAGCGUUGUCCGGAAUCAUUGGGCGUAAAGAGCGUGUAGGCGGCCCGAUAAGUCCGCCGUGAAAGUCCAGGGCUCAACCCUGGAAUGCCGGUGGAAACUGUCGGGCUGGAGUCCGGAAGAGGCGAGUGGAAUUCCUGGUGUAGCGGUGAAAUGCGCAGAUAUCAGGAGGAACACCAAUGGGCGAAGGCAGCUCGCUGGGACGGUACUGGACGCGUGAGACGCGAAAGCGUGGGGAGGCAAACAGG
rnacentral:rRNA from 1 species